GUCACGACUUGCCAGGGGAUGGAGGAAUCACGUGGUAUCCAUCGCAGGAAGUGGAGCAGUGCUGUGGCCGUUGCUGCGGCCUGCCAGGGAGUAAUGGAGCCACGUAGGAUCCGCCGUAGGGAGUAAUGGAGCCGCGUAGGAUUCGCCGAAGGGAGUGGAGCAGAAUCGUGGCCGCUACUACGGCCUGCCAGGGAGUCCAGACUUGUUGGCUGA
rnacentral:lncRNA from 1 species